rnacentral:tmRNA from 1 species
GGGGGUGAUUGGUGUCGACCUGGACGACGCCGACCCUGGUGGCGAGCCGAGGCGCCGCUGGCCUCGUAAAAAGCGGCAAACCAAUAAACGCGAACACUUCUCAGUACGCGUACGCGGCCUAAGUAGGCCGCGCGUUCAGCCUCUCCCUGUCGGCCGGAGAGAAUCUGAGCGUCACCCAUGCCGACUGACCGCCGAGGGCCCGUCCGCCGCCUGACAGCGGGACAUCCAAGACGGAACGGCGUUUGCAGAUCCCGUCUACGGGAGCCGUGAGCGCGAGAUCAAAUCGUAGACUACGCUCGUAGAGGCCGGGCUAGGGUCUCCGGGGACCGGGGUUCGAGUCCCCGCACCUCCACCA